rnacentral:rRNA from 1 species
AUUGAACGCUGGCGGCAGGCCUAACACAUGCAAGUCGGACGGUAGCACAGAGAGCUUGCUCUUGGGUGACGAGUGGCGGACGGGUGAGUAAUGUCUGGGGAUCUGCCCGAUAGAGGGGGAUAACCACUGGAAACGGUGGCUAAUACCGCAUAACGUCGCAAGACCAAAGAGGGGGACCUUCGGGCCUCUCACUAUCGGAUGAACCCAGAUGGGAUUAGCUAGUAGGCGGGGUAAUGGCCCACCUAGGCGACGAUCCCUAGCUGGUCUGGGAGGAUGACCAGCCACACUGGAACGGAGACACGGUCCAGACUCCUACGGGAGGCAGCAGUGGGGAAUAUUGCACAAUGGGCGCAAGCCUGAUGCAGCCAUGCCGCGUGUAUGAAGAAGGCCUUCGGGUUGUAAAGUACUUUCAGCGGGGAGGAAGGCGAUGCGGUUAAUAACCGCGUCGAUUGACGUUACCCGCAGAAGAAGCACCGGCUAACUCCGUGCCAGCCGCCGCCGUAA